AGUGAACGCUGGCGGUAGGCCUAACACAUGCAAGUCGAACGGCAGCACAGUAAGAGCUUGCUCUUACGGGUGGCGAGUGGCGGACGGGUGAGGAAUACAUCGGAAUCUACUUUUUCGUGGGGGAUAACGUAGGGAAACUUACGCUAAUACCGCAUACGACCUACGGGUGAAAGCAGGGGAUCUUCGGACCUUGCGCGAUUGAAUGAGCCGAUGUCGGAUUAGCUAGUUGGCGGGGUAAAGGCCCACCAAGGCGACGAUCCGUAGCUGGUCUGAGAGGAUGAUCAGCCACACUGGAACUGAGACACGGUCCAGACUCCUACGGGAGGCAGCAGUGGGGAAUAUUGGACAAUGGGCGCAAGCCUGAUCCAGCCAUGCUGCGUGGGUGAAGAAGGCCUUCGGGUUGUAAAGCCCUUUUGUUGGGAAAGAAAAGCAGCAGGUUAAUACCCCGCUGUUCUGACGGUACCCAAAGAAUAAGCACCGGCUAACUUCGUG
rnacentral:rRNA from 1 species